rnacentral:misc_RNA from 1 species
UAUCCGUAGGUGAACCUGCGGAGGGAUCAUUACAGAGUUCAUGCCCUACCGGGUAGAUCUCCCACCCUAUGUUAUUAUUACUUUGUUGCUUUGGCGGGCCGUUAGGCUCCGGCCCGACUACCGGCCCCGGCUGGUAAGCGCCCGCCAGAGGACCCAAAACUCUGAAUAUUAGUGUCGUCUGAGUACUAUAUAAUAGUUAAAACUUUCAACAACGGAUCUCUUGGUUCUG